AGUUGGCGGCUCCCCAGCGCCCUCCCCGCGCCGCAGUCCGGGAUGAGCGCGAGAGGCGAGGGGGGCCCCGGGCGCGGGGAGCCGGUCUCUCCAGGGGCGCGCGGGGCGGGGGCUGGCACCGAACCACUGAGCCCGCGGAGAGCAAACUCCGUGAACUGAACCCUGAAGAUUUAUUUUGGUGACUCAAACCUCUGCGGAUGAAUGAAGACCACGUAUUAUGAACUCCAAAGAAGUUGUACUUAAAGCGUCAUCAGGCUGAUGAGGGUGCUUCCUAAUGAGGAGCUGCAUUCCUCUUCCCUUCUCUCCUUCUUCUGGUCUGGCUCUGAUCUCAACAGAAUAUUUUCUCAAGGUUGCAAGAUGGUCACAGCAGUUCUACUUCACAUCCUCCUGAAGUCAAGGCCAGCAGGGAAGAGGCUUCCUUUCCCUCCAUAGUCCCAGAACUGAUCUCAUUACAUGUCAUUGGAUCUAAUGAGUCACAUAGCCAUCCUUGAACCACGGACUAUGCUCUGAGGAAUGUGGUACUCAUUUGGUCAAGUCUGAGUCACUGCUCUCUGUUGAAGCCAUUGGUAGAAUCAACACAUAUGUACCAACUGUGAUCGGGAUAGCCCUCCAAAAAAGAUACUGGGUGCUGUCACCAAAAGGAUACUGGACAGCUAAAAAUGGCAAAUGUCCUUCCAAGUAUAUCAUGAUUUCAAGCCUAUUUUGACUAAUAUAGGAAAAACUAGUAGGUUGCAAAACUUAAACCCAAACCAGAAUUUUUCAUCUUUUUAUGAACUUCAUCAUAGAUACGUCCCCAAAUGAGACAUCAUGAUCUAUUCUAACAAAUUCAAAGCAAAUUAGACAAGGUUGUCUUUCUUAUCUUCAUAUUCAAUUUUAAGCAAUGAAUCAAACAAUAUGAAAAAGCUGAAAAUAAAAAAUAGAUCAUGAAUGUAAAAUGUCAUUAAAUAAUGAUGAUGCAUUUUGUGGUAGCUGAUUGCAUUCAGCACUUUCAUUCUGGAAUAAGGUUAUUUUUCUACCUAAGUGUCAUUAGAAGCUUUUCAGAACUGAAUAUACAGUGAUCUAAGAUGCGUAUAGAUGCAUAUUCUGCAUAAGCAAUACCUGAAAACAUGAUGAAACGCCUGGGUGGUUCAGUGGUUGAGCAUCUGCCUUCAGCUCAGGUUGUAAUCCCAGGGUCCUGGGAUUGAGUCCCACAUCGGGCUCCCCACAAGGAGCCUGCUUCUCCCUCUGCCUAUGUCUCUGCCUCUCUCCCAGUGUCUCUCAUGAAUAAAUAAAUAAAUCUUAAAAGAAUACCUGAAAACAUGAAAAACAUACCUAGCAUAAACCGAAACACUUAAAAGCACGUUGUAUGUAAGAAAAUUAAGAAAUCAUCCAAUAUAUAUAAAGAACACUCACAAAUCAAUAAGAAAAAGAUAAACAACCAGCAGAAAAUUGGGCAAAGAUCCUGAACGGACAUGCCUCACAAAGGAGCUAUCCAAAUAACCAAUACACGUAUGAAAAGGUGCUCAACUUUCUUUGUCAUCAAGAAAAUGCAAAUUAAAAGCAUAAUGUAAUAGCACCACACACCCACUAGAAAAAUAACAAAUGUUGGAAAGUAUAUACAGCAACCAGGAUCCUCACCCACCACUGUUGAGAGUAUAACUUGAUACAACCUUUUUGAAAAGUGCCAGAACCUAUUCACGUGGACAUGUGCUUCUUCUAUACCAGUAAUUUCACUCCUAAAAGUAUACCCAAAAGACAUGACCAAGGAUGUUCAUUAGAAGCACAAUUCAUAGCAGUCAAAUACCAAAAACUCCCAAAAGGCCCAUCAGCAGUGGGAUGGAUCAAUAAAUUGUGUUACAGUGGCACAAUUUGAAUCUGUGUAGCAGAAUGAACAGACAGCACAGAUGAGUCCUCACAAACAUAAAAUUAAAUAUAAGAAACCAGCCACAAGGGAUCCCUGGGUGGC